rnacentral:tRNA from 1 species
GCCGGUGUAACUCAGGGGUAGAGUAGCUCAUUCGUAAUGAGCAAGUCGGUGGUUCAAUUCCACUCACCGGCU